UGAAAAAUUGAAACAAGAUACAACUUAUAUACAAAACCUAUGUCAAGGUAAGAACGUAGGGAUGACGACCAAGAAAUUAUAGUUCGACAUUUAGAACGGAAAUGAUGAUAUCGUAACAGCAGCUUGAGUCUACACAUUUAUUACUGAAGUUUUCCAAAUGGAUGGUCAAGCACUGCUUCGUUGUCAACCCGAUUAUAGGACACGAGGAUUGACCAGCGUCUCUGGUCACUGUCGUUACCAGCACUUGUGUGCAGGAGGUUCGAGUGAAAGAAGAGAGCAUCACCUAUACAAGAAAAUUUUAGAUAAUAUUUGAAUAAAGAAACAAGUUUAUUUCUUAUAUCACAGCAAUGGGCACCAAUAACAAGUUAUCAUGUUCCAUUUCGACAUAGACUGGAGGGCAUUUCUGUUGGAUAGCAUGUACUCUCUCCAGAUCCGCACCAGUCUGCCCAGCUAUCAGAAGAUGGUCAAUCCGACCGCAUUUGUGGGAGCCGGGCAGUAUCUUAAAGCAAGUUUGAAUACAAACUCUAAUGUUAAAGAAACCAGAACAGAUUGUUCUUUGAAAGGAAAAGAAAUCAGAUCGGCUAAAAGAACUAAUUUGUUCUCUUAACAAGGGGAUAUCAAUUAAUAGUAUUUAAGGAUAACAUACAUUUUAAGAUUCGCAAUAAGGAAAAUAUAAC